GUCCAAUGACUACGUACAUAUGCAUCUGUAUUGGUCUGGCUUUGGCCUAGGCUCUCAGGGACAGCUAUACCAGGCACCUGUCAGUAAGAACUUCUUGACAUCAGCAAUAGUGUCUGGAUUUGGUGUUAGAUGGAUUCCUAGGUGGGGCAGUCCGUCAGUUUCUACUCUACUCUUUGUCCCUACAUUUCCUUUUGACAGGAGGAAUUCUGGAGUAAUAUAUUUGAGGUGGGUGGGUGGCUCCGUUCCUCAACUGGGGGCUGUGCCUGUAUGGUCUCUACAGGUUCUAUCUACUCCUUGUUGGGUAUUUCAGCUAAAGUCCUCCCUGAUGGGUCCAGGGAAUCUCUUGGGUCCCUGGCAUCUGAGACUUUCUAGUGGCUAUCUCCAGUGCCCCCUCCUCCACUGCUACACACCUACUUUCAAAUUUGUAACCCUUUAUACUUCUCGCUCAUCUCCUUCCAUGUUUGAACUAGCCUCCCUUUAAUUUUUUUAGUAUAAAUAUAAGUUUGAAUAGUAAGUUCUAAGUGCCUGAAUGAUAGUAUCAUCUACAGCAGCAUUUUAAAUUUCAAAUAAUAUUGAUUUUUCAAAAAACAUAUAUUCAACCAAAAUAUGUGAUUUAGACAUUUGAAAUUCUCUUUACAAGUUACAGAAAAUU
rnacentral:lncRNA from 1 species